UUCUCUACCCACCUCACGAUUUAAACCACUCCAUUUCUCACAAACUCACCUAACGAUUUCGCCGCACAUUGCUGCACCGGCGUAGCUAUCCUUUUUUCACCGGCGGCGCUAUCCUUCUGUUCACCGGCGGAGCUAGCCUUCUGAAGAUCGAGAACAAUAUGGAGGAUCCGACUUAUCAACACAUAGACGCUCGUUCCAAAGCCAGGUUUGAUGGUACUGCUCCUGAACCCCCGUAAGGGAAUAAGAAGCGGUCAUAUACCUGGAAGCAAAUGCGUCCCUUUUCCUCAAAUGUUUGAUUCUUCUAAUACACUGUUACCAGCAGAAGAGCUAAAACAAAGAUUUGAACAAGCAGGUAAACUAUUACAUCAUCAUCUCCACUUCAAGAAUGAGGUUCACAAUCUUAGUUAAUAUACAGCAGUCGUACGAUUACAAGGCUUUUUGGUGCAUGUAUCUCACUGGACAAGCCUAUUAUGGCCUCGUGUGGGACUGGGGUAACAGCUUGCAUCCUAGCAAUGGGGCUUCACCGGGUGGGGAAAAUUGAUGUGCCUGUCUAUGAUGGACAAGUGAACUAGGAGAAGAGCCAAAUAUGAUUCACUGUUCCACACUUAGAUAAGAAGAGACGCACAAUAAGUGACUUGAAGACAAAAAUGUAUAUCGAGAAGGCAACAAGUGAGUUAGAGCUCCUCCAAUCGCAACGCCAAACCGAAGGAGAUGACACGGUUCAGUCUAACCGUCUUACACCUGAGGAGAUUAACUCUAUCAUGCGUAAAGUUGUUCCAAAGGUUAGAGAACGAUGUUAUGGCCUUCGUACUUGAUUGGAUGAAGGAUGCUCGUCUACCUCACGAACCGACCACCUACUCUGACAAUCCCUGAAGAUGACGACGAUGAGACCCAAUUGAUGAGACCCAAUUGAUGGUUUAUGGUUUGCAAGAGUAAUGAUAUCUGAUUAUUUUAAAAACUUGAACAUUUUUAGGAUUUUAGGUUGUUUGUUUGUAUGACAUUGAUAUUUAAGCUUAGCAACAUUUUGUUUGUAUUACAUUGACAUUUCUAUAUAUAAUUCUCUGUUAUUUUCAUCA